rnacentral:tRNA from 2 species
CGGGAUGUAGCGCAGCUUGGUUAGCGCGCCACCUUUGGGAGGUGGAGGCCCCCGGUUCGAAUCCGGGCAUCCCGACCC